AGUGAACGCUGGCGGUAGGCCUAACACAUGCAAGUCGAACGGCAGCACAGUAAGAGCUUGCUCUUACGGGUGGCGAGUGGCGGACGGGUGAGGAAUACAUCGGAAUCUACUUUUUCUUGGGGGAUAACGUAGGGAAACUUACGCUACUACCGCAUACGACCUACGGGUGAAAGCAGGGGAUCUUCGGACCUUGCGUGCUUUAAUGAGCCGAUUUCGGAUUAGCUAGUUGGCGGGGUAAAGGCCCACCAAGGCGACGAUCCUUUGCUGGUCUGAGAGGAUGAUCAGCCACACUGGAACGGAGACACGGUCCAGACUCCUACGGGAGGAAGCAGUGGGGAAUAUUGGACAAUGGGCGCAAGCCUGAUCCAGCCAUACCGCGUGGGUGAAGAAGGCCUUCGGGUUGUAAAGCCCUUUUGUUGGGAAAGAAAAGCAGCAGGUUAAUACCCCGCUGUUCUGACGGUACCCAAAGAAUAAGCACCGGCUAACUUCGUG
rnacentral:rRNA from 1 species